GCGGUGGUGCAGGGAGAGACUUCAGCUUGGAGGGGAGGGUUUGGGGGUGGGGAUGUCCGAAAUGCUGGGGGUGAGCGGCUCCUGGGGGGGUUCCACGUGGGAUAACAGCAAAAGCAAAGGGCCGGGCCGGGCUGGGCCAGCAGUGAGGCCAAAACGCACCGCUGUGCGCCCCGAAAUCCGCUGCUGGGUGUGCAAAGCGUUGGCGGUGCGUCUUUGCAGAGGGGCAGCUCCCACCACGGCCGUCCAAUUCCGCCUCUUUGGCAGUGGAUUCCCCGGGGUGCACUGCAUCUGUGCGCAGCCACGCCGUGUGUGCGUUGCACAGAGACACCGGCCCUUGGCGUGCUGCUGUGUGUGCAAGGGCGGGCGGUGACGUGCGACGGUCUGCAAGGACGUGCAAAGGUGUGCAAGGGUGUGUGAUUUGCAAGGAGGUGCGAAGGUGUGCAAGGAUGUGUGAGGGCAGACAACGGUGUGCAAUGGUGUGCAAAGGCGAGUAGGGGUUUGUGCAAGGAUGUGCAAAGGUGUGCAAGGAUGUGCAAAGGUGUGCAAGGGUGUGUGAUGUGCAAGGAGGUGCAAAGGUGUGCAAGGAUGUGUGAGGGCAGACAACGGUGUGCAGUGGUGUGCAGUGGUGUGCAGGGGUGAGUAGGGGUUUGCAAGGAUGUGCAAAGGUGUGCAAGGAUGUGUGAGGGCAGACAACGGUGUGCAAUGGUGUGCAAAGGUGAGUAAGGGUUUGCAAGGAUGUGCAAAGGUGUGCAAGGGUGUGUGAUUUGCAAGGAUGUGCAAAGGUGUGCAAGGAUGUGUGAGGGCAGACAACGGUGUGCAAUGGUGUCCAAAGGAGAGUAGGGGUUUGCAAGGAUGUGCAAAGGUGUGCAAGGAUGGGUGAGGGCAGACAGCAGUGUGCAAUGGUGUGCAAAGGUGAGUAAGGAUAUAGGAUGCAGGAUAUGGGAUGCAGGAUAUGGAAUUCAGGAUAUGGGAUGCAGGAUAUGGGAUGCGGGAUAUGGGAUGCGGGAUAUGGGAUGCAGGAUAUGGGAUGCGGGAUAUGGGAUGCAGGAUGCAGGAUAUGGGAUGCGGGAUAUGGGAUGCCGGAUAUGGGAUGCCAGAUAUGGGAUGCGGGAUAUGGGAUGCCGGAUAUGGGAUGCCGGAUAUGGGAUGCGGGAUAUGGGAUGCAGGAUGCAGGAUAUGGGAUGUGGGAUAUGGGAUGCCGGAUAUGGAAUUCAGAAUAUGGGAUGCAGAAUAUGGGAUGCGUGAUAUAGGAUGUGGGAUAUGGGAUGCAGGAUAUGGGAUGCAGGAUAUGGGAUGCCGGAUAUGGGAUGCAGGAUAUGGGAUGUUGGAUAUGGGAUGCAGGAUAUGGGAUAUGGGAUGCGUGAUAUAGGAUGUGGGAUAUGGGAUGCUGGAUAUGGGAUGCCGGAUAUGGGAUUCGCGAUAUGGGAUGCGGGAUAUGGGAUGCGGGAUAUGGGAUGCGGGAUAUGGAAUUCAGGAUAUGGGAUGCCGGAUAUGGGAUGUGGGAUAUGGGAUGCGGGAUAUGGGAUGCAGGAUAUGGGAUACAGGAUAUGGGAUGCAGGAUAUGGAAUUCAGGAUAUGGGAUGCGGGAUAUGGGAUGUGGGAUAUGGGAUGCAGGAUAUGGGAUGAGGGAUAUGGGAUGCAGGAUAUGGGAUGCCAGAUAUGAAAUGCAGGAUAUGGGAUAUGGGAUGCGUGAUAUAGGAUGUGGGAUAUGGGAUGCGGGAUAUGGGAUGCGGGAUAUGGGAUGCAGGAUAUGGAAUUCAGGAUAUGGGAUGCCGGAUAUGGGAUGUGGGAUAUGGGAUGCGGGAUAUGGGAUGCAGGAUAUGGGAUACAGGAUAUGGGAUGCAGGAUAUGGAAUUCAGGAUAUGGGAUGCGGGAUAUGGGAUGUGGGAUAUGGGAUGCAGGAUAUGGGAUGAGGGAUAUGGGAUGCAGGAUAUGGGAUGCCAGAUAUGAAAUGCAGGAUAUGGGAUAUGGGAUGCGUGAUAUAGGAUGUGGGAUAUGGGAUGCGGGAUAUGGGAUGCGGGAUAUGGGAUGCAGGAUAUGGGAUGUGGGAUAUGGGAUGCAGGAUAUGGGAUGAGGGAUAUGGGAUGCGGGAUAUGGGAUGCAGGAUAUGGGAUGCCGGAUAUGAAAUGCAGGAUAUGGGAUAUGGGAUGCGUGAUAUAGGAUGUGGGAUAUGGGAUGCGGGAUAUGGGAUGCGGGAUGCAGCCGCGGGCUGCGGGCUCGGGGAGGCGAUGCUGCGGGGCCGCAUUGUGCGGGGCUGCAGCGGGCGGCCGCAUACAAACAGGGAGAUGAAAAGGGCGAGAGGCCCCACGGGCGCGGGCUGUCGGGGUGAUGGAUGGGGGUGAGAUCGGGGUGAGGCCCCUCCUUCCGAGAGCCUCGAGAUGGCAAAACGAUGCGAGGAACGACAGAGCGGCGUUCGGCGAGAGAACGGCCCGGAAAGAGCCCGGAAAGGAGGAAAGGCGUUUUAUUGCAGCCGACCCGAAAGCUCCGCUCCUCCUCGGCGCGGCGGCUGCUUUUGUUUGGGUUCGGAGCUGUGUUGGUUUUCUUUCCCCCUUUUCGGGCUGUUUGAAUGCGAAUAAAGGAGCGCGGUGAGGACGCGUCAAUGGCAGAGAGAAGUGCCGUCUGUUUACACGGCUGUCGGCUUCGGAAUGAAUAACCCGCAGGAAUGGGGGGGGGGGGGGAGGGGGCAAAAUGGCUUUGGGGGGUCGGUAGGGGGGUGAGGGGUCCCAAAAACGGCCUGUGAUGGAAAUGGGGUUUUGGCAAAGGGGCCCCAAAGCCGUUUCUUUCUCUCCCUUUUGCGGCGCUGUGCGGGGAUGGGGGUUCGGGGUGGAGGGGGGGGGUGUGGGGUGACCCCAAAUCUGCCCCCCCAUCGUCCUCAGACGGGACGGAGCGGAGUGGGAAAGCCGAUAAGCCGCUGUUACCGCCCCGUGGCGACGCCCCGUCCCCAUUGAACGGCCCGGCGGUGCGGCGGCGGAUGCUGUCGGAUGCGCUCUGCGACGCUGUAGGGUGGGUUUGUAAUGCCCUUCAUAGGACUGCAGCACUUUUCCCAGCUCCGUUCCUAUGCCAGCAGCGCAGCCGCCCAUUCCCCGGGCACGGGACACAUCUCCGGGGGAGGGAUUCGGACCC
ensembl:lncRNA